CGAUUCAGCGCCGCAGGGUCGCCACUUCCUCAGCCGUCUGACUGGUUGUUGAUUACCCGCUUUGCCGUUCUCAUUGGCUGCAGUCUUUGUCGAUCCGGCGUGAGUGCGCUUUCGUUUCCUUCCGAGCGCAGACCACGCUCCCUCCCGUCGCGCCUCACCUGGUGGAAGUAAGAGGCUCCUCGGCGCCGGUAGCGGAGUCGGUACUUGAGAGAGAAGAUGUCCGGGAAGGGCCAGGAAGAAGGAGGAUGCCAGAGCACCUGCAGGCGCUGUCCAGCUAUGCGCAGGCGCACGCCUUCCGGAGGGUCGGGCUUGACUGGUGGGAGCAGGACCUGGGUCAGGGUCGGCUAUACUGGUUCAUCCAUCACACACUAAUUCUUCAUUUUUGACUCUCAUUCAUUCAUACGUUCGCUUUCACCCUCAGACAGCUAUUCAUGUAUUUGCUCCGUCCUUCCAUUCAUUCAUACUCACACUUCAUUCUUUCACGUAUUCACUAAGCUCUUCACUAAUUCAUUCCUUUACUCGGUUACUCACCAGCUCACUCAUACAUUUAUUUAUUGUUUGAUUCAAGAGCAGAUUUGUUCCUGGAUUCAUUGUCUCAUUCAUUUGCAUUUAUCAUUAUACACUCACUCAUUCAGGGAUCCAUUUCCACAGUCAUUAGGUCAUUCACUCAUUCACUGUAUCAUUUGUGAAGUCACUCAUUCACUCUCUAAUUGAGUCAUUCAUUUGUUCAUGCACUCACUCAUGUCAUUCAUUCAUUUACUCAUGUCCUUCCUGUAUUCAUUAUGCAUUCAUUAUGUCAGUUAUGCAUUUAUUCACUCAUUCACUAAGUCAUUCAUUUAUUUACUAAGUCAUUUGUGUUCAUACACUCAGUAAUGUAAUGUAUGCAUUCAAUAUGUCA